AGAACGAACGCUGGCGGCAUGCCUAAUACAUGCAAGUCGAACGAACACUUCGGCGUUAGUGGCGCACGGGUGCGUAACGCGUGGGAAUCUGCCCUUGGGUUCGGAAUAACAGUUGGAAACGACUGCUAAUACCGGAUGAUGACGUAAGUCCAAAGAUUUAUCGCCCAGGGAUGAGCCCGCGUAGGAUUAGCUAGUUGGUGAGGUAAAGGCUCACCAAGGCGACGAUCCUUAGCUGGUCUGAGAGGAUGAUCAGCCACACUGGGGACUGAGACGACGGCCCAGACUCCUACGGGAGGCAG
rnacentral:rRNA from 1 species